UGGGGAAUCUUAGACAAUGGGGGCAACCCUGAUCUAGCCAUGCCGCGUGAGUGAUGAAGGCCUUAGGGUUGUAAAGCUCUUUCAGCUGGGAAGAUAAUGACGGUACCAGCAGAAGAAGCCCCGGCUAACUCCGUGCCAGCAGCCGCGGUAAUACGGAGGGGGCUAGCGUUGUUCGGAAUUACUGGGCGUAAAUCGCACGUAGGCGGACCGGAAAGUUGGGGGGUGAAAAUCCCGGGGGCUCAACCUCGGAACUGCCUUCAAAAACUAUCGGUCUGGAGUUCGAGAGAGGUGAGUGGAAUUCCGAGUGUAGAGGUGAAAAUUUCGUAGAUAUUCGGAGGAACACCAGUGGCGAAGGCGGCUCACUGGCUCGAUACUGACGCUGAGGUGCGAAAAGCGUGGGGAGCAAAACAGGAUUAGAUACCCUGGUAGUCC
rnacentral:rRNA from 1 species